AUCAAAACCAUCCCCUUCAUGGUCAUCAUCAUGCCCAUCAUCAUCGUCAUCGAAGGGUGGGUCUAAAACAGAUACUGGACUGCACUGUUCCUUAUCUUCCUCUUCUUCCCCUGAUUGGAAUUUGUUGACGCCAUCAGCACCAUUAAUUUCUUUGUCCUAUAAAAAAAAUUCACAACCACCAUAGUUAGAAUAUUGUCCUAAUUGGGGUAGUUAACACAAGUCCCUAAUCAUUCUUAUAAUGCCCAUGGAUUUAGACUCUACACUUGCUUCAUAAUUGGGUGGUUGUUGUUGUUGAAAAGUAUUGUAUGUGUGGUGCACAGGGCAGAGAUUAAUAUAAAGCCAUGGCAUAUUUUGUUGGGAGGGUUGAAAGAAGACACUACGAGGAUACCAUGGCUGAACAGAGAGCCUUAUGCUUACUGGAAAGGUAAUCCAGCUGUUGCUGAAACCAGACAAGAUCUCAUGAAAUGCAAUGUUUAUGAAAAUCAAGAUUGGAAUGCUCGUUUAUUUGCCCAGAUAAUAACAGAAUUUGAGGAUAACAGAAUUUGGGAAAAGCACUAUCUCUGUCCCCUAACUAACUGCAGUGCACUAAUGCUGUCGCGGCUAAACCUAAUCCCUGAGGUGAGUGGGUCUGUAGUGUGGAGAAGAAAUCAGCUUGUUGCUCCAAUUAAUUAAUGUUGUAGAAAAAAGGUGACUGAGGAGGAUCAAGUUUUCUCAGGGUAUCUUCUUUUUUUGUAUUUGAAAAAACACAAAUGACAAGAGGAACAGUCGUUACCUUCUGCUACAUUUUCUUUUUUAUCAUGGAAGACAAGAGGCAGAUCUUUAGCCUCUCUCUCUCUCUCUCUUUUUAAGAAACACAACAGAAAAUGAAUAUAUAUGACAAGUGUUAACAAUUUGUA